rnacentral:lncRNA from 1 species
UCUAACUCUUUCUCCCUUUUUCAAUUUCAAGUUUUUUUUUAUUUUGCUGGCCAUUGAAUUUUCUUUGCGCCAUUAUUCUCUUGUUUCUUUGCUUCAUUUUUUUUCACUGUUAGAAUAUUAAAUCUUUGUAGUUUUUCGCCAACCUUGUUUCGCAUUUAAACUUUAUCAUUAAACGAUUAGCAUUUUCGUUCGUCAAAGUUCUGAAACCUGUAAGUGUUCCCUUUUGAGUUUGUAAUUUGGUUUUCUUCGAUUCGUUAAUAUUGUUUGAUCGAGCUUUUUAAAUACUUUGUGGGUAAUUUUAAUUAGGUUUUCAAAUCGGUAGAAUUGAGACGACUCGUAAUUAGGGAGGAAUAUUGUGGUUUAAUUUUUGCAGUUUUUUUUUUUUUUUUGUAAUUGAUUCGUUUUAAGUUGUGUGAUAAUCUUUAUUCCGUUUUAACAAUUGUAUGCGUUGUAAUACUUUUUUUCUAGUGCUAUCUUAAUAACUUUGGUGUUUGUAAAAGUUAGGAUUUUAGUUAAAUUUAUUGUGAAUCAAAUGUAAUGUCCGAAAAAUUGUUUUAGAUUAUUUCCUUGAAUUCAUUGUUUAUGCCUUCAAAUUUUAAAACUAUCUUUUGUCUUUCUUUAUAAAAAUAUUUGUAAAAUGUGACUAGUAGACUCACUAAGCAAGAGCAACAAUUUGAGUUUAUUAUCACUUCAUUUUGUGUGCUCACUGUGCAUUCAACUUGGUAAUUUUCGGUAAAGAGUGUAGUUGAUAAUGAUGAAGGUGGAGAUAAAUAAUACAUUUUUGAGGUUAUACAUGUUUAAUCCUAUCUUAACCUUCUGAGAGAAAGGAGAAGUUUGAACUUGAAUAUGUAUGUAUGUAUACACGAUACAUAUAUGCAUAGUUGGUCUUGUUAUUGCUGCUUGAAUUGAUCUGGGUGGUUGGAGUUUUAACUCUUGUGUGUGUGGAUGAACAAACAUUAAAAUUUUGUUGAAGAAAUAAAAGGUAAGUAAUAUAUAUACACAAUAUAGAUGCACGAGUCUGUAGGUGUUAAAUAUAUAUAUGCGUGAGAUUGGAGUCAUAAAUAUAAUAUAUAUGAGUGGGGUCUGUUGGUGUUAAACAUAUAUAUAUGCGUGAGUUUGGGUUUUUUUAUAAUAUAUAUAUGAGUGGGUUUAUAUAUAUGAAUCUUAUUAUAUUGGAGUAUUUGGGAUAUCGCUAUUGCUUGUAUACGGUCCUUGAGGGGAGUAUUUUUGUUCGAGUGUUUUAUGCAAUUGUAAUAUAUGAUUUUGCUAAUGGCAUAAGUUGUUUUAAUAAAAUGACUAGAUGUGAUUAACGAAAAUUGUGCAUCUUAUUAAUUUAGAGUUUUCGUAAUUGUUUAUGAGUAUGUGUGGAAUACUGAAAUCUAAGUAUGGGUAAAUCUGAUUAGGCUAAUCUAAACUAUUUAUUAAUACGAGUAUUGAUUAAAGAAAUAAAAAAUGAGCUUGUCCGACUUAUUCGUAUGUAUUUGCAUUCUGUGUUGGGAUUUGAUUUUGGAAGUGAAGGAAGUUUGAUUCGGCAGUUAAAUCGCGUUAUUAUAUUUCAACGAUAAAAUCGCAAUUAUGUUAGUAGCCUGACUGCUUAACAAUAUCGAGGCAAUGACCUCUUCGUGGUGUGAAUUGGAUGGAUGGGUCUACCAUGACCCAACGUGGUGUGUAGAGGUUGGAAAGGGUCUCGGUUACCCUUAUUGGUGUGUAUGUGGGAUAUAUGGAGAUGGUGUGUAGAGGCUGGAUAGGUUGGUAUUGAGAUAGGUGCAUGUGUGUAUGAACUGCAUAUGAUCUGCUUUUGAGUAAAUACUUCACAUACGACUAUCUAGUAUGAGAUGAUCUCAGUUUUUGUGUAUGUUUGAGUAAUUUCACGAGAACACGAUUCACCUAUCUGUUUAGUAUUAUAAUUAUGUGAUAUGCCAAUUUGAUAUGAUUUCCGUUAAUGAUUCGAUUUGGUGAUCUUGUAACUUUUUAGUUAACUAUUCGACUCUGUGUAAUUACGUUGUUUAAGACUCACACUGGGCUUACAUGGCUCACUCCCUUAGUUUUUCCUUUUCAGGUAACCCUUAAGAGUGGGGGUUCGACUCAGCUAACCGGAGGUCUCAGAAAUAAGCAUUUUGGUUUGAUUUAAAUAAGCUUUCAUAAGUUUUGAUAAACUGAUUUCAUUUGAACUGUAAGAAAAUUUUACGGAUUGUGGUAUGAGUUUUGGUUUUAUUUUGGUUUAGAACAUAAUUAGAGAUUCUUUAC